GUAGCUCGCCCUCGUAUAAAAAUUCCACGUGAACUGCGUUCGUCUUCUUGCAGUUAGCUCGUCGACAACGAAAUAGUUCCUUUUGGCCCUUGCCACAUUUCUCCUCUUACCGUCUCACCAGCAAGUGAAGAUGCUCCGGGGAAUUGAAACUGCAGACCUGCUUGACGAAGAACUCGCUGCCUUUUUCCGCACGCUUUUAACAGAACCAAAAUGUUGAGCUUCUUGAUGAAAGAACACAUGGUCUCAUGGGAGAGUAGCCAAGAAACGGCUGCACGUCCUUUACAAGGCUCAUCUCAGUUUACACUGUUGUGGCCUAGACAUGGCGUAGCAUUAUUUCGUUGAGAUCACCAUAUCAUCAUGUCAUGAACCAAUGUCAUCCAGCCUAAAAUAAUGUUCACAGAUCUGGACAGUGGUUGUUUACCAGCUGAUGCCAAGUAAAGAACUAGCAGUUCACAAUAAAAUUGGAAAUAAGAAGGUUAAUUGGAAAUGAAAAGCAAUCAACACAUGACCUGUGUCUGAUGAACAGCAUAUCUGACCUGUACUGAAAUAGCAUGAAGAAGUGGAUAACAUAUCUGACUAAACUGCUGUAGGCAAAGUUUCUAUUGAGAAUGUUAAUGAUAUGUUACAUGGCUCUCAUAUAUAUCUUUGAUUCAUGUAGAUAAGAAAUUCCACUCUGCUAAUAACAUCCAUGAGACUGCAAGAAAUCUGCUUAGGAUUGUAAGUGAUUAGUGGCUUUCCAAAUUAUGCUGCUUUGCAUAAAAAGAAAAAAGCUGGGUAUAAGCCCUUUGCUUUCCCAGUAACAUGAUCUUUUGUACAGAGCUAUGUUGAGCUCUGUGUGAGCAGAGUAGCUAAAUUUAGAAAUAGUUUAUUGGGCAGUGAUGAGAUUAUGUCUCGUUCGUAUGAAUCUAUGAUUACAAAUAACACAUCCUGAGCCCAAUCAGUGUGCAGACCCUCAGAUGCUAUUUAGUUAUUACUAUGUGCUUAUGCCAUUUUUUAUGCCACAGGUCAAUCUCAUCCAAACCAAACAAGUUUAAACCAACAUUGUAUUGAUUUCGUAAAAAUAAAGAUUUGCAAUUAUAUGCUGUCAAA